AGUUUCCCUCCAAGUUGAGGUCUUAUUACAUAAAGCCUGCAGACUUUUGCAGGCCCGUAAUACAGUUUUCCUGUUAAAGCAGUAUUACAACUGGUAGCAAUGGCAAAAGCCUUAUUGCCUGAGAAGACAUUUACUGGUGAUGUAGGCGGGCUUACGAUCAUGAUCAAGAGAAAGAAUUUGACUCACGGAUGCUCCAGGAAGUCUGCUGGCAGCUCCAGAUGACCAAAGUGAAGACUAGAAUGGCCCAUCCUGCUAGUUGAAUAAGUAAACUGGACUAGGAAGUGGGAGGGGCUCCUCUGCCCAGACGCCAGAAGUUGCCAAACCACAGAGAGUCAAUCGUCUGCUACAUGAUUCUUGUCUUCACAGAUUAACCACAGCUUUGUCUACCCGAGGUUUCACACUAUGUCCGAAUGGGGCCUAAGAGUGUGUCAAGAAAGGAAAUGACUAGUGAGUUGUCAAAUAUAAGCUUAGCCUUCCUCAUUUAAUAAAGGAAAGUUAGAUAAAUCA